UCCUCGGUAGUUCAGUGGUAGAGCGAGCAAGUCGGGGAGAAACUAACGUGGGUUCAAGUCCGUCCUGGGGCG